rnacentral:rRNA from 1 species
GACGAACGCUGGCGGCGUGCUUAACACAUGCAAGUCGAACGGAAAGGCCCUGCUUUUGUGGGGUGCUCGAGUGGCGAACGGGUGAGUAACACGUGAGUAACCUGCCCUUGACUUUGGGAUAACUUCAGGAAACUGGGGCUAAUACCGGAUAGGAGCUCCUGCUGCAUGGUGGGGGUCGGACAGUUUCGGCGGUUGGGGAUGGACUGGCGGCUUACCAGCUUGUUGGUGGGGUAGUGGCUUACCAAGGCUUUGACGGGUAGCCGGCCUGAGAGGGUGACCGGCCACAUGGGGACUGAGAUACGGCGCAGACGCCUACGGGAGGCAGCAGGGGGGAAUAUUGCACAAUGGGCGGGAGCCUGAUGCGGCAGCGCCGGGUGCGGAAUGACGGCCUUCGGGUUGUAAACCGCUGUCGCCUGUGACGAAGCGUGAGUGACGGUAAUGGGUAAAGAAGCACCGGCUAACUACGUG